UAUUGUUAUUUGCUAAACCUGCAAGAGGCUUGAGUUAAUGAAUCAAAGCUGGCAAACAAUGCAACAAGUGGCAAAUCUCACCUGAUGACGAUCUCCUUUGCAGGGGCAGGUGGUGUGUCAGAGUGCCUAGCACAAGACCUGCUUUAAAUUAGAGACUCCGUCAACAAUGAAUAGAUGAAACUAUGCCAAUAGACAGGAAGAGAUAUUGCAAGAACAACUUAAAACCAAUGCGACCGAAGAAAAGUCCGGGAGCUGUGGCUCCAGAUGGGAAGGAUAACAAUAUGCAGAGAAGGAAGAGCCCUGCCAGGGCUGGAGGACAAGGAUCACAGACCUCAGGACUAAAGAGAUGGAAAACAGGGAAAGCAGAGAUUCAAAUGUGAAGAGGUUCUAAUAUAUGCCAGCAGCACUGGAUUGCAGAGUGGAGAGGCGGACUGGCUGAGGGGUGCCCUCGAGUAUCCUACUUGGAGGUCCCUAUGCUGAUUGA